rnacentral:rRNA from 1 species
GAGUUUGAUCCUGGCUCAGAUUGAACGCUGGCGGCAGGCCUAACACAUGCAAGUCGAACGGUAACAGGAAGUGCUUGCACUUCGCUGACGAGUGGCGGACGGGUGAGUAAUGCUUGGGAACUUGCCUUUGCGAGGGGGAUAACAGUUGGAAACGACUGCUAAUACCGCAUAAUGUCUUCGGACCAAACGGGGCUUCGGCUCCGGCGCAAAGAGAGGCCCAAGUGAGAUUAGCUAGUUGGUGAGGUAAAGGCUCACCAGGGCGACGAUCUCUAGCUGUUCUGAGAGGAAGAUCAGCCACACUGGGACUGAGACACGGCCCAGACUCCUACGGGAGGCAGCAGUGGGGAAUAUUGCACAAUGGGGGAAACCCUGAUGCAGCCAUGCCGCGUGUGUGAAGAAGGCCUUCGGGUUGUAAAGCACUUUCAGUUGUGAGGAAAGGUUGGUAGUUAAUACCUGCCAGCUGUGACGUUAACAACAGAAGAAGCACCGGCUAACUCCGUGCCAGCAGCCGCGGUAAUACGGAGGGUGCGAGCGUUAAUCGGAAUUACUGGGCGUAAAGCGCACGCAGGCGGUUUGUUAAGCUAGAUGUGAAAGCCCCGGGCUCAACCUGGGAUGGUCAUUUAGAACUGGCAGACUAGAGUCUUGGAGAGGGGAGUGGAAUUCCAGGUGUAGCGGUGAAAUGCGUAGAUAUCUGGAGGAACAUCAGUGGCGAAGGCGACUCCCUGGCCAAAGACUGACGCUCAUGUGCGAAAGUGUGGGUAGCGAACAGGAUUAGAUACCCUGGUAGUCCACACCGUAAACGCUGUCUACUAGCUGUUUGUGACUUUAAGUCGUGAGUAGCGAAGCUAACGCGCUAAGUAGACCGCCUGGGGAGUACGGCCGCAAGGUUAAAACUCAAAUGAAUUGACGGGGGCCCGCACAAGCGGUGGAGCAUGUGGUUUAAUUCGAUGCAACGCGAAGAACCUUACCUACACUUGACAUGCAGAGAACUUUCUAGAGAUAGAUUGGUGCCUUCGGGAACUCUGACACAGGUGCUGCAUGGCUGUCGUCAGCUCGUGUCGUGAGAUGUUG